UAAUGCUGCAUAACAAAUUAGACCCAGACUUAAAUGGCUUAACAAAAUGAUAUCCAUUAUCUUACAGUGUUUGUAGGCCAAGAGUCUGGAUGUGGUUUGACUAGACUCCUCCAGCUCAAAGGCUCAAAUGAAAGUGUUAGCCAUGGCCAUCAUCAUCUCAAUGAUUGAACAGAGGAGAAUCUGCUAGUACAAUAUUGAACAGAGUGGUGUCACUUUGAGAGGCUUUCCCUGAAAAGUGAGGAAGAACAAAUGCCCCAUCUCCUGAAGCCAUAAGAUCUGACAGAGAUGAAAACUUCCAACCUCCCCAGAUGAACAUGCCAGCAUGAGAAAAAAGCGAAGGACAUGGGGAUGAUGCCAGAGGCAGUAAAUGAACUGGUGGGAGCACAUUUAUUGAAACAGGUAACC